GACGAACGCUGGCGGCGUGCUUGACACAUGCAAGUCGAACGGAAAGGCCCUGCUUUUGUGGGGUGCUCGAGUGGCGAACGGGUGAGUAACACGUGAGUAACCUGCCCUUGACUUUGGGAUAACUUCAGGAAACUGGGGCUAAUACCGGAUAGGAGCUCCUGCUGCAUGGUGGGGGUUGGAAAGUUUCGGCGGUUGGGGAUGGACUCGCGGCUUAUCAGCUUGUUGGUGGGGUAGUGGCUUACCAAGGCUUUGACGGGUAGCCGGCCUGAGAGGGUGACCGGCCACAUUGGGACUGAGAUACGGCCCAGACUCCUACGGGAGGCAGCAGUGGGGAAUAUUGCACAAUGGGCGGAAGCCUGAUGCAGCAACGCCGCGUGCGGGACGACGGCCUUCGGGUUGUAAACCGCUUUCGCUUGUGACGAAGCGUGAGUGACGGUAAUGGGUAAAGAAGCACCGGCUAACUACGUG
rnacentral:rRNA from 1 species